UACGUAGGGGGCAAGCGUUGUCCGGAUUUAUUGGGCGUAAAGAGCGUGUAGGCGGCUUGGCAAGUCCGCUGUGAAAACUCGAGGCUUAACCUCGAGACGUCGGUGGAAACUGCUUGGCUAGAGUCCGGAAGAGGAGAGUGGAAUUCCUGGUGUAGCGGUAAAAUGCGCAGAUAUCAGGAAGAACACCCGUGGCUAAGGCGGCUCUCUAGUACGGUACUGACGCUGAGACGCGAAAGCGUGGGGAGCGAACAGG
rnacentral:rRNA from 1 species